AGAGUUUGAUCAUGGCUCAGGAUGAACGCUGGCGGCGUGCUUAACACAUGCAAGUCGAACGUGAACCAGCAGCAAUGUUGGUGAAAGUGGCAAACGGGUGAGUAACACGUAGAUGACCUGCCUCAGAGUGGGGGAUAACCACGGGAAACUGUGGCUAAUACCGCAUAACUUGUCAAGUGUGGGAAUGCUGGACAAGAAAGCUUACGUGCUCAGAGAGGGGUCUGCGUCCGAUUAGCUAGUUGGUGAGGUAACGGCUCACCAAGGCUGUGAUCGGUAGCUGGUCUGAGAGGACGAUCAGCCACACGGGAACUGCGAGACGGUCCCGACUCCUACGGGGGGCAGCAGUGAGGAAUAUUGGGCAAUGGGCGCAAGCCUGACCCAGCAACGCCGCGUGGAGGACGAAGGCCUUCGGGUUGUAAACUCCUUUUCGGGGGGAAAAGACAAGGAUGGUACCCCCAGAAUAAGUCACGGCUAACUACGCGCCAGCAGCCGCGGUAAUACGUAGGUGACGAGCGUUAUCCGGAAUUACUGGGCGUAAAGCGCACGCAAGCGGUUCUACAAGUCUGGCGUGAAAUUCUCUGGCUUAACCAGGGGCGGUCGCUGGAGACUGUAGGACUUGAGGCGAUGAGAGGGGUGCAGAAUUCCCGGUGUAGUGGUGGAAUGCGUAGAUAUCGGGGGGAAUACCAGUGGCGAAAGCGGCACCCUGGCGUCGUACUGGCGCUCAUGUGCGAAAGCGUGGGGAGCGAACGGGAUUAGAUACCCCGGUAGUCCACGCGGUAACGAUGANACUNNUGUGGGUGGAGUCAAUCUGUCCGUGCCAAGCCACGCGUUAGUGUUCGCCU
rnacentral:rRNA from 1 species